GGGGCUUAGGUGGGGUGUCCCGAGGAGUCACUGGGGUACCUGUCCAAGGUCCGGCCCUCGGGGCCCGGCCUGAGGCGGGAAGGGGCUCCGGAGCUACGGGGAGGCAAGAUGACAUCUCUGCCCCAAGAUUGGAACAGCUGAAGGGAGUCACUGGACAAGAUGAGAACCACAAAGGUCUACAAACUGGUCAUCCACAAGAAGGGCUUUGGGGGCAGUGAUGAUGAGUUAGUUGUGAACCCAAAGUGUUUCCUCACAUCAAGCUCGGAGACAUUGUGGAGAUUGCUCACCCAAUGACGAAUACAGGUGAGCAUCUUGCUAACAUCAAGG